GGGUGCGGGACCACAGCAGGGUAGGGGAAGGGCCUGGACGUGUUCCUCGGGUAUCUGCAUCAGAGACAUGGUGAGAAGGGCGGCAGGAGCCCCCGAGGAAGGUCCUGCCAGAGCAGCGCAGAGGCCUGUGGGCCACGGCCAGUCACUCCAGGACAGGUGCGUGCUCUGCCUCGCGGUCCUCGUGGGGGUGCGCCCCUUGUGGCCAGUGGGCUGGGAUGCAGCUGUCCUUCCAUCUGCACCAAGGAGUGGCCUUCUCCCAGCCAAGGAGCACGCUUUCUUUUUCUCCGUGUGCCACCAUGGCAGAGCCCACAGGAGCAGCAGCGCGGCAGAGGAGGCCUGGCAGAGGAGGCGCUGGUGGCCAUGGUGGGGCCUGGCUGAGUGAGUGCUCCCAGCUUACAGGGCGAGAGGGUCCCGUAGAUGGAUUCCUCCUCUUCUGGGGUCUGGAGAAGGGGAUAAUGCUGGGACUGUGACAGCUCCACCCUUUAUCUCCGCAGCUUCCCACCUCUGUGUGCUGCCAGGGUCCUGGAUGAGAGCCACAGCUGCAGGGUGGGAAGCAGGGACAGUCCCCAGCUUCCACGGCUGCACCACCUCUAUGCUGGGGUGCGGGGUGCUGGGUGCUGGGUGGGCUGUGCCUACACUCUGGAAACACUGGAAUGCCCGGGAGCCGCUGGGCUGCCCCAUGGUGUGACAGCCAGCUGGCUUCAUGCCUGCCACCCUCCUGGUGGGCACGGGAGUGGGCCUGGGGAGGCACAGGCUCAGCUGAGGAUGCCCCUGCCCUGGGGCCAGCGCGGUGGUGGCACUUUCAUCCCCUUCAAGGGCUAAAGCUCAACCAAUGCAGAGGAGGAGGAGGAGGCUAUCUAUGGGUCACACAAUGAGGGAGACCCAGACGGCUUCAAGAGCAAAACAGGAGACAUUGUCAGGACCCCUGGGCAAGCAGAUGCUAGCAAGUGCUGACCUCAGGGAAGAAAACUAACCAACCAGACAGUUAUGGAGAGGGUGUCUUCAUCCCGAGGAAGAAUGUCCUCCUGCUGCAGAUCAGGCAUGGCCAGAGGCCACUAACUUCUCCCAGGGCAACUCCAUGAGUUGAUUUCCUUAACUCUGGGUCCUGUGACUCAGAGGGCAAAUGGAUGUCAGAGCUAUGGUUAGCUUAGGUGGACUGGUGCUCUCCCUGGGAGCUGGGGACAGGUGCCCGGCCCUGAAUUGCAGGCCUCAGUGCCCCAGAUCUGGUGCCUUCUGCUCCUCAGAAGUGGUCAGUGAGGUGAAGAGACAGACGCGGAGUGGGAGAACCCACCUGGAGGACAGCAGACCUCCAGCAACACGUUCGACGGCAUAAACUAGGAACUCCUGCAGACCAACAAGAGAUGCAGGGAACCUGCCAAGAACAAGCAAAGAUCUGAGCGGGCACAUCACAGGGACGGUCAGCUGGGAUGCGAACAGGUGCCCAAUUUGAUUAGCAUCUGGAGAAACACACACCGAAAACCCAAGAAGAUACCCCAGUGGACAAGCACGGAAAGGGUGAAGUCCCUCCCCACUGCCGUGAAUCCGUGCUGUGUUGUCUGUGCUGCUGAAUAGGAUUCCAUCCAGAGGUGAGCCGAGAUUUGCUGCUUUGCUUAUGGUUGAAGGAUGAGGAGUGGAGUAACAGCCUUGGGAGUGGAGGAACAGCUGCUGUACAUUUAACUUUACAAGUUUAUAAGAAACACUGAGCUGCUUUUCUGAGUGAAUGGCCACUGUGUCCACACCAGCAGUGUGGGAGAGCGCCCAUGGCCACACAUCCUGGCCAGCAUUGGGAGCUGCCCGAAGCUGCCGGGUGUUCUGAUGGGUGUGGGGCGGCUCUUCGUGGCUUGACUUGCACCCCCUGGUGGCCACCUGUGAUUUGCAUCUCUCCAGGUGUGUGGUUCUGUCACCUGCCGGUCUCAGCUGGGCAGUCCCUUGCUCUGCCCAUUGGCCUUGGCCUUGCAGGAGUGGGGAGACACUGGCAAGUCAGAGCAUCACCUAUGAGAAUGACAGCCCUCCCCGUCUGUGUCCCCACUCCCAUCUGGGCUCAGUGGUUCUCCAAAAAGUGCACCUCCCAUUUCUUCUGCCACCAGAAAACCACUUUACAGAAUGUCUGCAAGGCAGGUCUGUUGGAGAGAAGGUGCCUGCAGAAGUGGUCUGUCUCUAGGCUGGGGCGUCCCCCUCCCCUGGACCUGAGGGAGAAGCCAGAAGAAGUAUGGUCAGGACGGGGCAGUGUGGCCAGAGAAAGUGUGGCAGGGAAGGAGGCUUGGCCAAAGGCCCAUGCACCUGGACAGGGUGCUGGGUGGUCAGCGCUGAAGCUAGCUGGCUGCAUCUUACCAGGCCACGCGGGGCUGCCCCUCAGCCAGAUGCCGUCUAGCACGUGGGAGUCCUGAUAAUUGGCAGUGUGGGGCGGUUACCCUCAUGGCGGGGUAAUUGGACCCUGGAGUCCCCACAUCUGUGCAUGAGGGAAGGAAGCCAACAGCCUUCCUCCCCAAUGCCUCCUUAAGCAGCCAUCGCUCAGAGUAGGGCCAGCUGCUCUCAGGCCUGGCCGGCCAGUCAGGGAGUCAGUGGGCAGGGAGAAGUCACCUUACGGCUGUGCCGCUGGAGGACGGCCACAGAGACUCCUGCUGCUCUCCAAGGGUGGACACCGAGGACUAGCAGGAAGCAGGUCCAGAGCGGCUCUCCCCUAAAAAGUCUCUGGAGCUUGAGUCUGGAAAUUCCUCAGUCUUCACAGCGUGGGUGGUACAUGUCAUUGGGUAAGUUGCGAGGACUCUUUUUUUUUUUUAAGUUGUAGAUGGACAAAUACCUUGAUUUUGUUUAUUCACUUUUAUGCGGUGCUGAGGAUCGAACCCAGUGCCCCGCACAUGCUAGACGCGUGCUCUACUGCUGAGCCACAGCCCAACCCAAUGAUCACUCUCUGUCCCAUAUUUUUAGGCUAGACAGAGGUCCCACAAGUCUUUACCACAGGAACAGAAGUGACAAUUCUUGUGCCUCAUCAAGGUUGUGGGCAAAUUCGGCUUUUGCAAGACAGAGAACUUAGACCUUAGAGAAAACAGGAAGUGUCAAACCGCACUGAGCUCUUUGCAGACAUUUUUGCUGAUAUUCUGUUAAUAAAAACAAUUAUGGUGAGGG